ACGCUCGACACCUACGGAGGCAGCAGUGGGGAAUAUUGCACAAUGGGGGAAACCCUGAUGCAGCGACGCCGCGUGAGCGAAGAAGUAUUUCGGUAUGUAAAGCUCUAUCAGCAGGGAAGAAACUGACGGUACCUGACUAAGAAGCACCGGCUAAAUACGUGCCCGACAGCCGCGGUAAUCUGAGCGGGCUGGCAAGGC
rnacentral:rRNA from 1 species